GGCCAUGAUGAUUGAAGCUUCUUCUGACACCUCUUGUACGAGAAUAGCCUUCAAAGUCUGUUCCUUGAGCAAGUAAAGCGAGUCUCUGAGCU